CUGUGAGCUCGAUGAGUAGGGCGGGACACGUGGUAUCCUGUCUGAAUAUGGGGGGACCAUCCUCCAAGGCUAAAUACUCCUGACUGACCGAUAGUGAACCAGUACCGUGAGGGAAAGGCGAAAAGAACCCCGGCGAGGGGAGUGAAAAAGAACCUGAAACCGUGUACGUACAAGCAGUGGGAGCACAGAGCAAUCUGUGUGACUGCGUACCUUUUGUAUAAUGGGUCAGCGACUUAUAUUCUGUAGCAAGGUUAACCGAAUAGGGGAGCCGAAGGGAAACCGAGUCUUAACUGGGCGUUAAGUUGCAGGGUAUAGACCCGAAACCCGGUGAUCUAGCCAUGGGCAGGUUGAAGGUUGGGUAACACUAACUGGAGGACCGAACCGACUAAUGUUGAAAAAUUAGCGGAUGACUUGUGGCUGGGGGUGAAAGGCCAAUCAAACCGGGAGAUAGCUGGUUCUCCCCGAAAGCUAUUUAGGUAGCGCCUCGUGAAUUCAUCUCCGGGGGUAGAGCACUGUUUCGGCAAGGGGGUCAUCCCGACUUACCAACCCGAUGCAAACUGCGAAUACCGGAGAAUGUUAUCACGGGAGACACACGGCGGGUGCUAACGUCCGUCGUGAAGAGGGAAACAACCCAGACCGCCAGCUAAGGUCCCAAAGUCAUGGUUAAGUGGGAAACGAUGUGGGAAGGCCCAGACAGCCAGGAUGUUGGCUUAGAAGCAGCCAUCAUUUAAAGAAAGCGUAAUAGCUCACUGGUCGAGUCGGCCUGCGCGGAAGAUGUAACGGGGCUAAACCAUGCACCGAAGCUGCGGCAGCGACGCU
rnacentral:rRNA from 1 species